CCUACGGGAGGCAGCAGUGGGGAAUAUUGCACAAUGGGGGAAACCCUGAUGCAGCAACGCCGCGUGAGUGAAGACGGCCUUCGGGUUGUAAAGCCCUGUCUUCAGGGACGAAAAUGACGGUACCUGAGGAGGAAGCCACGGCUAACUACGUGCCAGCAGCCGCGGUAAUACGUAGGGGGCGAGCGUUGUCCGGAUUUACUGGGCGUAAAGGGAGCGUAGGCGGACUUUUAAGUGAGAUGUGAAAUACUCGGGCUAAACCUGAGUUCUGCAUUUCAAACUGGAAGUCUAGAGUGCAGGAGAGGAGGGUGGAAUUCCUGGUGUAGCGGUGAAAUGCGUAGAGAUUAGGAGGAACACCGGUGGCGAAGGCGAUUCUCUGGACUGUAACUGACGCUGAGGCUCGAAAGCGUGGGGAGCAAACAGGAUUAGAUACCCGGGUAGUC
rnacentral:rRNA from 1 species